UCUGCCUCACUCUUCAUGCAUGUACUCUUCUUGUUGUAAUGCAUUCGGAAUUAUUUCAUCCUACCUAAAUUAAUAAAGUGACAACUACUCACAGCUGGAACGUUCUUCUUAGCUUCUUGAAGUUUAAUUUAUUUGUUUUAUUUACAAAAUUAGAUAGAUGUUUGAGAUGUUUCCUUUCUGUCCAUCUCUUAUGGAAGAUACCUUUAUAUUUUUUGGUUUUGAAGCAAUCUUGCACUUAAAACCGUGGCAUCUUCUAGUGUAAUUUCUGAUGAUAUAUAAUCUAAGAAUGGGAGCAUAUACGUCAAAACUGAGCUUGUGUAGGCCUACAAUGAAACUCAACCAGAUUACCACCGUGACCCAUUUAUAUCCGUAUAUAUUGUUGAUUCACCAAACAAUGGCCUAAACUUUUGGUUCUAUAAAUCGCUUAAUACAAUGAUGCUAAACUCAACCAUAUAUAUCAAGAGAAAUUAUUAUAUUAUAGAAAUUGCAUUCAUGAAAUGAAUAGUACUCCAUGAAUGGGAAGAUGGUAACUGUGUGAAGAUGUUGAGAAAUUGCUGGAAAUCUGGUUGUGGAGCUUCUAGUCUCUCAAGAAUUGGGAAUCCACACAUGGAAAUUAAUUUUUUCCCUUUCGUGAUUCUCCACCCCUCCUUUGUAGUGCCAAUACUUCUUUUUCAUGUAUUUUUGCUUUUCACAAUGAUAACAUUUAACUUUCUUCUUACCUUGGCAUUUUGACCUCUUUUGGUUGUGACACCCACUAGAACCACAUUCUCUUGGUCUUCCUUUAGAUAUAAUUAGAGCUUGAAUAUGUUGAGAAAAUGAUAUUUUGUCUUCCUUGGUUUUUGCCCUUACUUUCUUCCUCAAGCGUAGUAUCCACAACAUUAUUAAAUAUUAACAUCGUCUUUAAAGCACCAUUAGCCACAUUUAUGAUGAGAUAAUUAUAUGAAUGGGGUAGACUUUGGAGCAAAAGUUCAACAUGUCCUUCCCUUUUAUGUUAUGUUCUAUAGACUCUUCAUGUUUGAUGUGCUUAGUCAUCAAAGUUGAUUUUGACAUCCAAAGGAUAUAGAGUGUUCUUUUUAAGAAGAUUUUUUUAUACAAUGACUUGACUUCAUAUAGUUUUGCCAAAGUAUCGCCGACUAUAUUAUUAACUACCUCUAAAUGCAAGCUUGAAAUGACAUCCCUAUUCAUUUUUUGUCUUUUAACAUUUUCUAGUCUUUCACCGGUUACUUCUAAGCAAUCUUAUUUUCUGAUCUUUCACUAAUUACUUCUAAGCAAUUUUCUUCCCUCGAGAUGACUUUCAUUUUCAUUUUCCACAACUCAAAAUUUUUUUAUAUGCUCAAGUAAGCGAUGCUUGAAGCGAAGUGUCAUCCUUUCCACAAGGCUCAUGGAUUAAAUGUGUUCGAGUAUAUGUCCAAGGAUCCAAGGUCGAGCCGAAAGUUCAACGAGGGUAUGACAAGUAGCUCCAAAAUUGUAUUGGACAUGGUGUUGAAGGCAUAUAGGUGUGGUUUUGAGGAGAUGAAAGAGGUUAUGAACGUAGGGGGCGACAUUGGAACUUCAAUUGAGAAGUUGGUUUCUGUUUAUCCACACAUUCGUGGAAUAUAAACUUCGAUUUGCCACAUGUUGUCGAUGCACCUCACCAACCAUGUUGCUGGAGAUAUGUUUGAGUCAUUACCAAAUGUAGAAACAAUUUUAUUGAAGGUUACACCAUUGAAAUGAUUCUAACACAGUCUAGUCUUUUUAAAAUUUAAAAAUUAUUAUUUUAAAUAAAUUUUUUUGUUUCUUUAACUUUAAUUUUUUUAAAGCUUAGUUAAAUUAAUAUAUAAUUUUAAUUAUAAUAUAAAAAUAAAUUUAAAUUUAAAAUUUACACUUUUUUAUAAUUUUAUUUAAUGUUUUAAUUAUAGAAUAUUUUUAAUCUUUAUAAUGACAUAUAGAUACAAAUUUUCUCAGUUAGUUAUUUAAUUUUCUUAAUUAUAUGAUAUUUAUGAAUAAAAAUAUUAUUCUGCAAUUUUCUUUAUAAUUUUUAAAUUUAUAAAAUGAAUAAAUUUGUAAGUGUUACACAUAUUAUAAAUGACUUGGAUCAUAAACAUAUCAUUUUGAUACGAUUAAUUUAAUAUAUCAUUUUAACACAAACAAAUAGAUAGGAUAAACAAAUCAAACAAUCAAGUCCAAAUACAAUCGACUUAUUAAAAGAAUGAUAUGGAUUAAUAUAAUUACGAAAUGGAUACCAUUAUAAUCAUGCCCUUAUUAAUAACAACUUGUUAAUACUUAUUAAUGUUAUUAGUUAACUAUUGUAAUUAUAAUAUAAUAACCCAUGUUGCAUCUGGCGUGGGAUUAUCCAACUUUGACUAAAAUAAUCCACAAACAAUGUUAGUCGGUUGUGAUCUUAGUUCAAAUGAGACAACUUUUAAAACAUAUAUAAAAUUUCUCAAUUACAAAAGAUGUAGGCUUUAGCAUAAUGGCUAGCCACGACACUUUUUGGGGGACAAACAUUAGGCCUGAGGUUUGAUUCCCUUUGGGUCAUGUCUGGAUUGGCAUGGUGUACAUUGGGUCAAGGUCUAAAUUUCAUUCUUCUUUUUUAGAUGUUUUCAUGCAAUAUACCCAAAAACCCAAUAUUUACUUUUUCUUUUGCCUUUUUUUUCCUUUUUAUUUUUAUUUUUAUUUUAAAUUUUUUAAAUUUUUAAAUUUUUAAUUUUUUGGUUUUUUUCUUCGUCAAAAUGCAAUGGCUUUUAAUAUAAGUCUCUCUAUUUUGCCUUUGGAGAUUUCCGCACAAAUUCAAAUGUGAUGCAAGUAGUUGAAUUGCAAUAUUCUUACCCAUAAAAUCAUGGUCAAGAGAAUUCAAAUCUAGUUAUGUAAACAUUUGUGGGCCAGUCUGGGCAGGAGUGGGCUCACUCUAGGAUAGUAAUUUUUGGGUUGGGCCAGAGUAGGCCCAGUUCGACUUCACUUAGACUUGAAAUGUGCAAUUGGUUAGGCCGAAGUUAAGAAAAAAUUUUAAGAUGAUUUAAAGCACUUUUGAUAAAUCAACUUAUUAAUGUAAUAUGUGUUCCAAUAACAUAUAUAUGAUAUGAUUUAUGUAAUAUAAAAAACUCAAAUCAUUUGGUUUAACUCAAAUUGACACUAAGACCCUAAUUAGGAAUUUGACAUAUAUUUUAAGCUUAAUUUAAGGUUUAAGGGAGGAAAAUGAUACAAGUUGGAAAAAUAAUUCUCAAUCAAAAUAGACUAAGGGAUCAAUUAUGCCUAAAUAGAGAUUCAGCACUAGUGAGACAUGAGAAGGAUCCAUGCAAGGGGAAAACAAAGAAUUUAUGAAUAUUAAAUAUGAUAACUUAAUGUUAUGGAUGGAGGUAGAGGAAAAGCAACCAUGAGAAAGGAGGUUGGAAGUAAAUGUAAUCAAGCUUAAAAUGGAAUUUGGAGCUUAAAAUUGGCAAUAACACAUAUCUUAAUUUUAACAUGAUUUUUGAAGCACUUUCCAUGAUCUUUUUGGGGCAAACCAUAUAUAGUUUUGAAGUUCAAAAAGUCAAAAGUCCAAUGUUUUAAAUAGUGUGUAAAUUGGAGCUAAAAUGAAGAAGUUAUGAUCAUUUGAAAAUAACUAGGUAGAGUAGAAGGAUCAUUUUGAAAUAAUUUUGAAAAUUCAACUUAUGAUUUUGAAAUUCAUUUUGAAAUUACCCCGAUUUCAAAAUCACACACUGCCACUUCUAGAUUUCACCUCUUCGAGCUUGAUAAUUGUGUCUUGGGCACUCCAUCAACCUUAAGUGAGCCCCACAUGAUUGAAAAUCAAGAUUCUAGCCUUUUUUUUUUUUUUUUUAGUUAUCUUUUGGUAAUUAUUUUAGGAAAUAAGUGGUCAAUUGGUGCAUGUCACGUGUGUUUUUGUUUUUUUAAGAGGAGAAUUCUCUACGAUUCUUAGGGGAAAGGAAGAUCUUGAAGGUUUUUCUUGGUUUGUUUUCUUUCUCUUUGUAUUAGUGAAUAAAUUAUUGUUUUUAAUUUUUUGAAAUUAAGAAUAGUUCUUUCUUGUUCUUUUAUGACCUAUGUAUGUAAGAACACAUCCAUAAAAGGUUAAAAAGUUAUCUUAGGGUGAAACAUGAAAACCUAGUGUUAGAUAGAAAGGGAUAUAAUGAGUUAAAUCAUAUUAAUAAUGAAAUGAAUGAAAGGUUAAGACGCUAAUAUUAAGAUCAAAAUGCCCUCUAAAGUUAGUUUGACUUGGGAGAUGACACAAUUGCACAUUCUUUGAUAUUGUGGAUUCUUGGUAAUUCUUUAUCUUAGUCAUAUGAGGUUUGGUCAUUGUUAUCUACCCCAAAGCAAACCCAUGAAGAGUGGUGAAAACCUAAAAAUAUUAUACCUAAACUUAUAUUUCAUCUUCAUUCGUCUAUUAGGUAAUUUAAAAUGGAAUAAAAUAUUAAAAGUUAAGACAUAGUUCAAACUUUGAGAUAUGAAACUUAGGUUGAUCUCGUUAGAACAUAUAUUUUGAUUACCCUAAUACUAAUUAAAUUAUAUACCCUUGUUUCGUCUAAAAGUUUAUACCCUAAGUUAGAUUAUGGAACCCUAAUAUUGAUUAAUUGAAUUGAAAAUCAAUAAUCAUUUUUCAAUUUAAAUAGGUUUAUUUUAGGAAAUCUUUAUUUAUAUUUUAUUUUGAUUUAUUUACAUUAGUUUUUUUUAACCUUUAGCAAAUAAUUAAUCUUUCUAAUCUAAAAAUAAUUGAACCAUUAGAAUGGAUCCUAGAGGACGACAACCCAAAAUAUCACAAAGUCGUGGUAACUGACCCUAUCUCUAGUUUUUCUUGGUCAGGGUUAUCAUAUAUUUUAGUAUUUUAAUUACAUUAAAAAUUUGCAGUUACUCUACUACUUGUUAAUAAGUUUUAUCUUAUCUCUUUCUAAAGCACUCUAACUCCUUCACUUCAAUAGGGUUUUCUUAUGAAAACAAAAUUCUAAAAGAUAAUAGAGAGAAAAGAGAGACACAAACACAAUGAUAUAUUGUGGAAGAUAUAUAUAUAUAUAUAUAUAACUACAUGUCAAUCACAAAUGCAACAUCCACAAUAAAUAAAUAAAAAAUAAAAAUUGAGUACAACAUUUUACCUAACCCAAGACCUUCAAUCUCUCUCUCUCUCUCAUAUUGCUUAUCUAGUAUUUUAGAAAACUCAACAUCUAACUAUCUUCAUAUAAAACCUAUGUAGAAUCACCUCCAAACACUAUUUUUAUCUCUUCCUGAUACUCACAUGAGAAGAUAUUUAAGUUUUAUCCUACAAUAUGAUGAAAGAGUGUAGAGAUGGAGAGCAACAAUUAAACAACCCAUUUUAAAGGAAAAUUUUUCAUUAGAAAGAGAUUUUUUAGCUUAAAGACCCACAAACUUUCCCUAGUAACAAACACCUCCCAAAUUUUGGCAAAGAAUUUGAAGCUUAAGGAGCCAAUCAACUCUCAUAUUUAUGAAUCCCUAAUUUGAAAAUGAGUUAAAUUAGUAGGAACUUAGACCUAAUCCAAUAGCUCAAUUGAUUUAGAAAGAAAUGAAAUUUUAUAUGUUGUGAUCAAAUUUGGUUGAUCGCAUAUAAAUACUAAAACAUUUUGGAUUAUAAUUGUUCUAUCACCCUUUAGUGGGAUUUUUAGAACUUAAAUCAAUUGAUUUAAAACAAAGUCUUUUAUACCUUUUAAUAAAGCAUAACAAUUUGAAACUUGGUCAAUCAAUUUUUGAAUCCAUCCAUCACCUCAAAUCACUCACCAUUUUCUCUAUCUUCAAUCAUAACUAUUUUUAAAAUGAUAAGAGUCUAAACCAUCAAAGCUAAGGGUGCACGAUGGAAAUUUUAUCCCAAAAUUGCCUAUGUAUAAAGGUACUCACAAUCUCUCCCUUGGAAAUUCUAAGAUAAACCCUUUACAACCUUAUAUAUAUACCCUACAUACUCUCAUACAAGGUACACACACUCACUCAAUCUCAUAACUUCGUUAGAUACUACAAUAUAUGCAACCAAAACUUAAUAAAGAGUAAGUAGCACUUGUAUACUAAUGAUAAAAUAAUAAGAGCAAUCAACUUGUAGAAAUUUCUCCUCUUUUUAAUCUUAGAAAGAGACAAAGGGAAAUAUGAAAAUCUUUUCAAAGACAAAUAAAUUCAUAAUAGACACAAAUAGUGAACCUAAAAACAAACUCAAAUAGAGCACCAUACAACUAUAUAUAUAUAAGGAAAUUAAGCAAGAAGCUAUGAAGUAGAGCUCUAUAAAAAUAACCUUCUAGAAAUAUGAAAAAACUAAAAUUAAGCAAUAGAUUUUUGUUAUCUCAUGGGUUCUCCUAAUUACUUUAUGAUGAUAACAAAAUAAUAUUAAAUAUACUAACAUGUAUAAUCAUGUGAAGAUUUUAGGUUUAAUCAUUAAAUUUAAAACAAAGCUCAAGUAUGCUAAUUAUAGAUUUAAAUAGUUUGAAGAAAUGGAUUUUUUUAAGACUCAAAAUAUCUAGGAACUUAUGGAAGAUGAAUCUUACGGGUGUACUAAUUAGGAUAAAAUAUUUUUUUUAUGCACUUUUAAAUGGUUUUCAUUCAUAAAUAUGUGCUUUACUUCAAAACCUUAGGCUUAGUUGUUUAAAAAUUGACUUAUAAAGGUUUUUAAAUGAAAUAUUCAAGUAACGGAAGAACAAAACUUGAAACCAAAGUUUUCUAGGCUAUUUUUUGUGCAACUAGUCAAGCCCACUAGGGAAUUGGUUCAACCAAUUAUGCUAUUUUUUUUAAACUUGGGUUGAGGUUUAAGGAUGGUAUGGAGUAUUGCCUUGUCCCACCUUAUAUAUGAUAUUAAAUAAAAAAUUAUUUAAUUUAUUUUAUUUUCACAUUUUUAAGCAUAUAUAAAAUAAAAAAUUACAUUUCAUAACAAUAAAGUAUAAAAAUGUGAUAUUUAUUUAUAAACUACGUUUGUUUUAAAUAUAAUUUAAUAAAUAAAUGGAACUAAUUUUCUAUAUUAUGUGAGUUUUAUAUAUAUAUAUAUAUAUAUAUAUAUAUAUAUAUAUAUAUAUAUAUUUAUGAUAAUGAGAAUAAAUAUAAAUAAAUGAAUAAUAUUGAGAUAGGUGAUCUCACCCAAAGUGGUCCUAUUAUCAUCUUUAUUCUAAGGUACGUAAAUGGUUAACACUAAUCUAAUUUCCCAAAACAUAAAAUCCAAUUCUAAUUUUUCAAUGCAAAUUUUAAUUUUUAUCAAAAACACUUUAUCAUAAUACAUCGAAUCACCAAAAAUAUAAGAAAGAAAAAAAAAAUGUUAAAAGGGUAUUAAAAGUGAUUCCUCAUUUUACUUUUUAUUUACACUUUUUUUUUUACCUUUUUUUAAUGUAAUGGAAUGUAGAUUUUAAAAUGUAUAAAUUUCAUUUUUGGUAGUUAUCAUAUUUAAUUUUUCUUUUGUAUAUGUUCAUCCAAUUAAAUGGAUCUAAAUAAAAUCGUAUUUCUGUUUUAUUUAAAUCAUCAAAUAAUGUUUUUAAUAAUUAAUUUAUCAAAUAUUUUGCAACAAAGGCUCCAUGAUUAUUAAAUAAUAAGUUGAAAAUCCAUCCCUGUCACCUUUGUGGGAUAGGGAUGGAUGUCUGGGAUAUUUGUCAAUAAUUUUUUUUACUUUUUAAUAAAAUAAUAAUUUAAAAAAUAUAAAAAUCAUUUUAUUUAAAAUACAAGUCACAAUUAUUUCAAAUUAUUUUAAAAAAACAUAAUAGUUUUGGCUUUAAAUCAUUUCUGGUAGAUAUUGUCUAAAGGCAAAGGGCAUAACUUGGUGCCAUGUGGCCCGUGGCUUUAUACAGUUGUAAUAUGAGCAAGUUGCGCAAGGAAACUUUGGAGAGGACAAAGUGAAAGGUGGCGAUGGGGCCACGUCAUCACUACAGACCAAACUGAUAGUUUGAUUAAAGACAGUGGGUCCCAGCGUUUCAGCCCUCUCUCUAUCUCCAACUAUCAGUCUCCUCAUUGACCACUUGUCGGCAUCAGGAUAGCACAUGUGGCAGCUUGUUUCAAAAGAGUGUCUGAAACUUAUGGGUCCCACAAGUUCUAAGCCGUUGAUCUCGCUGCUGGUCUGUCGGCAGAGCUGGUAGAGCGACGCGUGUCCCCACCCUAAAAGCAGAUUUUGGCUUCUUUUCCAGCCACGGAUCAGACACGAAGAGUUCUGUGGGAAGGUGAGCCACGCGGUGGAGUUAGGUGGAUUUAUGUACUCGCGAGAUUUAGCAAUACGCGACACCGAAGUUUGGCCGUGUGUAACGCGUGUACAACUGGUUGGGCGAGUAUUAUGAUGUGAUCUAGUGAGGAUGUACCUUGCAGGUGAGGGGAAUGCGGAAAAAAAUCAAGUGUAGGUCAGGCCCAGGUCAGAAUCACAGCCGCUUAACGUGAUGGAGCCUUUGCGGAUAAGGUACCUUCCUUUUCAGAAUGACGAAACUACCCUGCAUUAAGUUUAACGGUCGGUUCUCGGACUUGCGUGGCAAAAAUAAUAAAUAUAUAUUUUUGAAAUUCUUUUAUAAAUCUAAAUAUCUACUCAAAAUUUCGUUCAAAUAGGAAUUCUCUGCCACGUAAGAGUUUGGAAUAAGAGAUUAAAAGGUACAAAAAUACGUGAAAUUACAAAUUUAACCUCUCAUGGAUUUUUAUUUAAAAAACCUCAUUUUAAAUAAAAAUACUCUUAAUUUUUUUAAUAAAAAUAAUAUUUUCUUUUAAAAUACAUAUCUAAAUAUUAUAAAUAUUUAAAGAUAUUUAUAUAAAAAAAUGAGUUAUUUUUCAAGUGCCAAAAUAGGAAAUGUUAAGAUUUUUUUCUUCAUUUUAAUUAUUUAAUCUUCUUAAAAUCAUAAUUAAUGACUAUAAUUUUAAUUUUUUAAAAAAAUAUUAUAGAUGUAUAUAUAUACAUGUAAAAAAAAAACCAAAUACAACAAUGUUGAUAUAAUAAGAAAAUAUUAAUUUGAUGAAUAUUUAAAAAAAAAAUCUAGGUUUAAAUUUUAUUCUAUUUUAUUUUUAAAAAAUAUUAAUUUCAUGUCAAACUCUUUGUCUUAAAUGGUGGUGUAAGAAAUUUUGAGAAAAGAAAAUAGAAUAAUAGGAAACAAGGUAUGUAAUUUGACUAGGGUCUAAUUAAUCGUGAUCUUUAUUACAUUAAUUCAAUUUAACUGUAAAAAUAGAUUGAAAUUAAUUAAAUUUGAUGUAGGUUAAAUAUAAUAUAAAUAAAAUAAAAUAAAAAACCCAACAACUUUAGCUUAAAGAAAAUUAAAAGACUUUUAAAGACAUACAUUAAUGAAUCAUGAUGCCAGAUCCGAGAACGGAAAAAAACAUCUAUAAAUUAAAUAUAAAACUCUUUCUUUUGAAUCUUUUUCCAAGGAUGCCAAUUGACACGGUUGAGGGCUAUUUCGUCUUUUUGAGGUCAGGCUCCUCCAUGUCACUCUCCUACAUUUCUCUUUCUCUCUGACACACAGACAAACGAGAAUUUGAAUUGGAAAAAAAAAAUGAAAAAACAGAAAAGGGGAAGCCCACAAACAGGUAAGCAUCCUUGUUGAUAUUUACGGGGAGAUUGCCUUUGUAACAAAGACAGUGGUGGCACGUAGGAACACCAACUACCUAUCUCUGUUUUCCUUAUCCCUUUCACACUUCCUCUUCCAACCGUUACUCUCCUCUCAACGCCAACCACCAGUGUCUAUUUCCAUUACCCUCCCUCAGUAUUCUUUCUCUUCAACGGUUACUAAGCUCUUUUAACGGCUAUUUUUCAUGAAUUUGGGGUCAUCUACGUGGUAGUGAAAGGACCAUUUUGAAAAAGUUGUUAAAUUUAAUUUUUUUUUUCUUAUAAGGGCGAUUUUGGCCCAAAACUCAUUAUUCAUGAUCCCUUAAGUUUCCAACUUCAAACGCAAAGCCCCCAUUCCUCCUGCACAGGAACACAGUAACAGAAGCAGAGGCAGAGGCAGAGGCAGACCCACAUGGAUUUCAGUUCGUUUCUGACGUCCUUAGGGACGUCGUUUCUGAUAUUCGUGGUUCUCAUGCUGCUCUUCGCUUGGCUCUCCAGGAAGCCUGGCAAUAGCGUCAUAUAUUACCCCAAUCGGAUCCUCAAAGGCAUGGAUCCAUGGGAGGGUGGGAAGAGGACCAGAAACCCAUUCGCUUGGAUCCGUGAAGCUAUCACUUCCAGCGAGGAUGACGUUAUUUCCAUGUCUGGCGUUGAUUCUGCUGUGUACUUGGUCUUCUUGAGCACUGGUUUGUCCUUCUCUUUUUCUGGGAUUUGUUUGUUUUGCAGGAAUUUGCCCGGAUUUGGUGGAUUUUAAACAAUUCUUUUUUAUUCUUUGAAUAUUUCUUACUUUAGUGUGGCGGAUUUGGAGAUGUAUUCUUCUUCUAUUAUCAGUUGGUUUUCUAGAAAAAUCUAAAAGAAGGAAUUUUGAGUUUGAGGACAUUGUUUCUAUGGGUUUUAGUAACUGUUCUUUUAUCAAAGCAUUCCGCCUAUAAUCAAAGCAAGAUGUUUUUAGGAUUCUGUUGUGUUGGGCAUAAAACACCUCUAAAUUUUGAAAAUUUAAUCACGUCUAGAGGAAACAUGAGGGUAGUGAUUAGGAGUGUGGAAACACACUCAUAUCCCUCUGAGAAGGUUGGCCAAGUCUCAUGUUUCUUAAACUGCAAUAGCCCAAGACUGUCUUUUGACGGAUGGAAAUACUAAAAAUUACUCUGAUCUUUUGUUUUCUUUUGUCAGGGGUAUCUUCCUUCCCUUUCUCUCAAGCUUUCUAGGCUUGAAUUUUCCAAUUUCAAUUCUUCUCACACUUCUUAAUUGUUUGACCUGUUUAGUUUAUAGGGUAUCUUCCUUCCCUUUCUCUCAAGCUUUCUAGGCUUGAAUUUUCCAAUUUCAAUUCUUCUCACACUUCUUAAUUGUUUGACCUGUUUAGUUUAUAGGGUAUUGAAUUUACUUCUUUUUUUCCCCCUUCCUUUGUUGAAUUGCACUUGUGGCCUAAAAUACUUGAAUGCUAUGGUAUGAUAUAUAUCUUGCCCUUGAUUCUGACCUUCAAUAUAAUAAACAUGGUUUUAAAGACGUGUUGCCUGGAGGGCCCAUAGUAUGGUAUAAUGAUGUUGACAGGGUCUGCUGCGGAUUUUGUAGUUUGGUGUGCAAUUAAGUAUUAGCCAAUAUCUUGGAUGGGUUGUCUUAAGCCUUAGAUAAUAUCUAGGUGAAUGAAGACAAGUCUUAGUUAAUAUAUCAUAUCAUAAAAGGAAAUUAGCUAAUAUGUAGCUGUCACUAAAGCAAUUAUUUCCUUGAGAGAUUAGAACAGAAAAAUUCAUCUUGAAAUAUGGUUUUAGUCGAAAGAGUUGACAAAACAAACUUCUGGUGGGGCAGUGCAGGGCACAAUGUGACUUUUAUGAUGACAGUGAAUACCUUUUAUCCAAAUCCUAUUAAAUGGUUUGAUACAGCAAUGCAACAAGGCAUCUAGUGAUCUUUCUUUUUAAAAAAAAUUUUCUUGUAUUUAUUUUUCUUCAUAUUGUAGGAAUAUGUUCAAUUUUAUUUAUUUUUCUUGACUGUCAACAUUUUUUUUGAUGAAAACUUAUGCAUUGGUUUACAUAUCAAAAGGCUGUCUGGUGUGAAUUUCUGUGCAUCUUUUGCAAGGGAGUCCAUCCCUAUAUCACAGUGAUUUCUGUGCAUCUUUAUGCCCCAUCAUGGUGUGAAUUUGCAGUGAAAAACUAUCCCCAAAUUAAGAGUUCACUUUUAUUGGAUACUAUAAUGUCCAAUGCGUGUAAGCUUAGAUGUCAAACUUGGUGGCGAAAAGCUUUCAUCUAGACUUCACAUGUUGCCUGCUUUUGACAAAAAGCUUGUUGGUGAAUCAACUACCCAAAGAUAUUCCAAAUUAGAAUUCUCUUUUAUUGGAUAUUAUGGCAGUCCUCAUUGUUGAUUUUUAUGACAAAAAAAGCAUGCAAGUCUUCAAACCUCUCAUUUUCUUAGUUCAUGUGCAGCUUUGGGAAUAUUGAUCUUAUCUGGCAUUGUGCUGCUACUGGUUCUUCUACCUGUGGCUGCCACUGACAAUAAUUUGAAGCUAUCGGCAAAUAGUUCUACAAGCAAUGGCACUUUCAAUGACCUUGACAAGUUAUCUAUGGGA
rnacentral:lncRNA from 1 species